AUUGAACGCUGGCGGCAUGCCUUACACAUGCAAGUCGAACGGCAGCACGGGAGCAAUCCUGGUGGCGAGUGGCGAACGGGUGAGUAAUAUAUCGGAACGUGCCCAGUCGUGGGGGACAACGUAGCGAAAGCUACGCUAAUACCGCAUACGAUCUAUGGAUGAAAGCGGGGGAUCGCAAGACCUCGCGCGAUUGGAGCGGCCGAUAUCAGAUUAGGUAGUUGGUGAGGUAAAGGCUCACCAAGCCGACGAUCUGUAGCUGGUCUGAGAGGACGACCAGCCAAACUGGGACUGAGCCACGGCCCAGAAUCCUACGGGAGGCACCAGUGGGGAAUGUUGAACAAUGGGCGAAAGCCUGAUCCAGCAAUGCCGCGUGCAGGAUGAAGGCCUUCGGGUUGUAAACUGCUUUUGUACGGAACGAAACGGCGAGCUCUAAUACAGUGUGCUAAUGACGGUACCGUAAGAAUAAGCACCGGCUAACUACGUGCCAGCCGCCGCGGUAA
rnacentral:rRNA from 1 species